UACGUAGGGUGCAAGCGUUGUCCGGAAUUAUUGGGCGUAAAGGGCUCGUAGGCGGUCCAUCGCGUCGGGAGUGAAAAGCUGGGGCUUAACCCCAGUCCUGCGUCCGAUACGGGCAGACUAGAGUGUGGUAGGGGAGACUGGAAUUCCUGGUGUAGCGGUGGAAUGCGCAGAUAUCAGGAGGAACACCGAUGGCGAAGGCAGGUCUCUGGGCCACUACUGACGCUGAGAAGCGAAAGCAUGGGGAGCGAACAGG
rnacentral:rRNA from 1 species